AAUGGUUCGAGAUGCAGGUGGUCUAUGUAUAGCUGAUGAAGUACAGACAGGCCUGGGUCGCUUAGGUUCACAUCUAUGGUCAUUUGAAGCUCAAGGUGUCACCCCUGAUAUUCUCAUCAUCGGUAAAGCUAUUGGUAAUGGGUAUCCAAUGGCUUGUGUUGUAACAUCCCCAGAUAUUGCUGCUCUCCUGGGAAGCAGAGUUAAAGAGUAUAAGUGCACAGCAGUGAUGAAUGCUGUGGGCUGUGCGGUGCUGGAUGUCCUGCACCGAGAUCAGUUUAUGGCCUCUGCAGCAUCUGUAGGAUCCUUUCUACUGACUGAACUGUCAAAGCUUAGAAGAAAACAUGAGUAUAUCGGUUA